UUUAACACACCCACCAGAGGGAUACAACAACUAGAUUUACAAAUGGUCAUCGAGGGCUCGUGGAAGAAUUUUACGGAGCGCAGUUACCAUAGGUUUGAUGACUCUGGUUGAGCCUAGAAAACACCGAAGAUCCCUCGAGGACAUGGAGUUUAGUCGAGAAAAUCGUUGUCGAAUAGAUGGGAAGUUGAAAUUUUCACGUUGGAACUGCGUAAAUACACAAACAAUCCACCAAUCUUCUAUCCAGAAUUUAAGAAAUUUUAACUUAAGCUGGUGGCAUUGCAAUGAAUUUGGUUUCCAAGAACAGUGUCAUUAUUUUACCUGUCGUGGAAUCGGUUGGAAAUGUGAAAAACUGGUCUAAAUGAAUCCGUGCUUUGUUAUCGCUGCAUUUCAAAAGGAACCAUGGAAGAAACAAUCUAAAAUAGACUAAGGAUAAUAAGCAAUUUCGUAGUUCUAUAAUGAAUCACGGUUUAAAUGUGUAAUCUUUUUGUGUGUAAAUACAGGUGACCAAACAAUCUUUGUCAUGCCGAGUCAUGGAGGAGCAUAA